AUUGAACGCUGGCGGCAGGCCUAACACAUGCAAGUCGAAUGGUAACAGGAAACAGCUUGCUGUUUCGCUGACGAGUGGCGGACGGGUGAGUAAUGUCUGGGAAACUGCCUGAUGGAGGGGGAUAACUACUGGAAACGGUAGCUAAUACCGCAUAACGUCGCAAGACCAAAGAGGGGGACCUUCGGGCCUCUUGCCAUCAGAUGUGCCCAGAUGGGAUUAGCUAGUAGGUGGGGCAACGGCUCACCUAGGCGACGAUCCCUAGCUGGUCUGAGAGGAUGACCAGCCACACUGGAACUGAGACACGGUCCAGACUCCUACGGGAGGCAGCAGUGGGGAAUAUUGCACAAUGGGCGCAAGCCUGAUGCAGCCAUGCCGCGUGUAUGAAGAAGGCCUUCGGGUUGUAAAGUACUUUCAGCGGGGAGGAAGGGAGUAAAGUUAAUACCUUUGCUCAUUGACGUUACCCGCAGAAGAAGCACCGGCUAACUCCGUG
rnacentral:rRNA from 1 species